rnacentral:lncRNA from 10 species
CGACGCCCGAGGACCCGACGGAGCUACACCCGCUAGUUCAGCCAGGAGGCCCUGCGCGGCUCCGGGGAGAGCUGGGUGGUUAUGCCACCUCAUUAGACACAUUGGUGGACGAUGCCGCGGAUUAGCGGGAUGGUUUGUGUACAAACGAAGCCGUGUCACUUCUCAAGUGUCGGUGCUCAACGUGGCAACGCCCCUCCCGCCCCCAGUACAGAGAUCCUGCCCAUCCACCGACAAUCCCCCUCCUCAUCUUCCUUCCCCCAGGUGCGAGUGAUUCAAGGAAAUCCGACUGGAGGGAACACACGCUGCGAUGCACCCUCUCCUCUUCCAUUGAGCCAGGGGUGACCUUGAGAGACUCAGGCCACCUCACCAGGCUCUACCAGGAACAGCGUCUACAGCUGGUAGAGAGCACGGGCUGCAGAGAGGUAAAGAUGGGGUUCGGAAGCCAAGGCUCCCCUUGUUGCAUGGGUGACAUCAGGCAAGCUACUCAACCUCUAACCCUGGCUUCCCCUUCUGUAUACUGGAGACAGUAUCGGCCCCACAGGCACUUGUGGAGCAAGUGGGUUUGAGCUGAGCUCCUCUGAAAAUCAGAGGCACACUCAGAGAGUAGCUCAGAAAACCAGGAUGUGUCAGUUUCAUUUGCUGGGAAGCAGAAGCCAAGAUAGAAUUAGAAGUGCAAUGUCUGUGAAGGAAGAAUAAAGGGAAAAGGAAACAGGAGUGGGGCAGGGGGCAGACCAAAAGGAAGACAGACAAGUGUGAGAAGGAGCCCCACAGUGCAGUGUAAGCUUAAGAAGGUGUGGAGAGGAUGGGAGUCACUCACUGGGCAGGAAUGGCCCAGCUCCAGCACCUUGCUAUGACCAGCCAGCUGCUGGGAACAGGCCAGGAAGAGUGUGGCCUUAGCGCAAACACUGGGGUGGAUCUCGAGAUGAAGGUGUGGCCGCUGGAAGCUGUCACUUCACCACUCCUCUUCUGAAGAGAGAGCUGAGCCCUGCACAUGGGAGCAUUGGUGAAAAGGGUGGUAGACGUUUAUCAGUAACCUUACUGGUUUUGUGCUCCAUCCUCCAUCUCCCAAAGUCCCCCUGACCUUGCCUUCAGCUCCAGGAAUGGCCACAUGACUCAGACAAAGCCAACCAGCCAUCCCAUUUCAGUGGCCAGUGAUGAAUGAUUCAGUGUUUACCCAAACGCAUCCAAUCAGGGUGAAUCUGAGGACAUUUGCUGGGGAGGCUGGGACACAGAUAAUCUCUUUUCUGACAGAUGGUAACAAGAAAGUAGGUAGCUGCAGGGGCUGCUGGCAGCCAUCUUGAGACAUGAAAGGUGUCCAAAUUGGGAUGAAUUCAGCACUGAAGAUGGUGGUACAGAGAAACAGGAGAUAGGGCCUUUGAUCACAUUGUUGGAUGGCUGGUUAAGCCUCUCCUGAAAUCCAUUCUACUGCUGGACUUUACAGUUCAUAAACUAAUAAAUCCUCUUUACUGUUUGAAGCAGUUGUGUCAGGUGUCCUGUUACGUAUAAGAAAGGCCUCUGAUUUGAUCAGCAAUAGGGAACUGGAUGUCCUCUGAGCUCCAAAAGUCAGCACAGGCCUAAUGCUCAGGCGUUAUGGAGCCUCGGACUGAUGAAAGGGUGGUAUGGGCAUCCAUGACUGCUUUUGGGACCUCAGGGGAGCAGUGUGUGAAUGUUCAUUUCAGAGUAAUGACAGCAACUCCACGUGUCUGCAUCCUUUUACGCCCAGCCACUCCCUUUCCUAUGACCAGCUGCUGUCUUCACCCUCUCGCCUGUAUCUUUUCUCCAUUACAUAGAUCCUCCUAACUCACACUUCCUCCUUCCUGAGUCGAGUUUGCAAGACUGAUUCCAGAUUCACCUUGUGAUUAUCCUAACGCAUCUCUUACCUUCAAUAACUUCCAAGGGCCUUAUCCUCUCUUCAUUUCCCAAUUCAAAUUUCCGGGAGCAGGACUUGGAUUAUCCCAGCUCUUGCCUAUUUAGACAACCUCAGAGAUUCUAUUUCCACUGUAUGUGGAGGGGACUGAGUAUUGGUACUUUUGAAAAGUUUCUUGGAUGGUUCAAGUGUGCAGCCAGAGUCAAGAACCCCUGGAUUAGUAGAGCUUUCCAGGCCAGCUGACCCCACAGUCGGCCCUUGGGUCAAGUUCAAGCUCAAUCCAGUCAGCUAAGAGCAGAGCCACAGGGUCUCACUAUGCCCAAAGUCCCUUCCAUUGGCAGAAUCUGU